GACGAACGCUGGCGGCGUGCCUAACACAUGCCAGUCGAACGGAAAGGCCCUGCUUUUGUGGGGUUCCCGAGUGGCGAACGGGUGAGAAACCCGGGAGUCACCCUGCCCUUGCGUUAGGAUAACUUCAGGAAAGCGGUGCUAAUACCUGCUUGGUGCUCCUGCAGCAUGGUGGGGGUUGGAAAGUUUCGGUGGAUGGGGAUGGACUUCCGGCUUAUUAGCUUGUUGGUUGGGUAGUUGCAUACCCAGGCAUUGACGGGUAGCCGGCCUGGGAGGGUGGACGGCGUCAAUGGUACUGCGAUAGGCCCCAGAGUCCAACGGGGGGCAGCAGGGGGGAAUCUUGCACAAUGGUGGGGAGUGUGAUGCAGAAGCGCCGCGUGCGGGAUGACGGCCUUCGGGGGAUGAACCGCUUUAACCUGUGACGAAGCGUGAGUGACGGUAAUGGGAGAAGAAGCACCGGCUAACUACGUG
rnacentral:rRNA from 1 species